rnacentral:rRNA from 1 species
CCCUUAGAUGUCCUGGGCCGCACGCGCGCUACACUGAUGCAUUCAACGAGUUUUACCUUGGCCGAGAGGCCUGGGCAAUCUUUUAAACCUGCAUCGUGAUAGGGAUAGAUUAUUGCAAUUAUUAAUCUUGAACGAGGAAUUCCUAGUAAACGCAGAUCAUCAAUCUGCAUUGAUUACGUCCCUGCCCUUUGUACACACCGCCCGUCGCACCUACCGAUUGAAUGGUCCGGUGAAGCCUCGGGAUUGUGGCCAGUUCACUUUAUUGGGAGUUGGCUGCGAGAACUUGUCUAAACCCUAUCAUUUAGAGGAAGGUGAAGUCGUAACA